GACGAGGGACCUACGUUGUUCGGAAUCAUUGGGCGUAAAGCGGGUGUAGGCGGGCUUCUAAGUCAGGUGUGAAAUCCCAGGGCUCAACCCUGGAAGUGCACUUGAUACUGGAAGUCCUGAAUGUGGUAGAGGCUAUUAGAAUUCUUGGUGUAGUGGUGAAAUACGUAGAUAUCAAGAGGAAUACCGGAGGCGAAGGCGGAUAGCUGGGCCAACAUUGACGCUGAGACCCGAAAGCGUGGGGAUCAAACAGG
rnacentral:rRNA from 1 species